GGCUGGCGGAAUGGUAGACGCGCUAGUUUUGGAAACUAGUGAGCGCAAGCUUGUGGGGGUUCGAAUCUCCUGCCG
rnacentral:tRNA from 1 species